rnacentral:misc_RNA from 1 species
GUCGCGCUUCUAGUGUGGCAUGGAAGCGGCAUUAGUUUUGUAAUUCAAUUACAUGCCUAUAUAUAUUUAAUGGCCCCCUAUUUUUGUCAUGUGUAAUUUAACUUUUAUCAUUACUUUAUGAAUUCUAUGUGUAAUUGGAUUCAUUUCGACUGAUCGGGUUUUCAGCCCAUGUGGCCACUGUCUGACAUAACCUAACUGCUUCUUUUAAUCCUGUUAAGUUCGAGUUUGAUCAGUAUUCAGCCAGUACCUAAAAAAAUCCUUGUGGGGGAUAUCCAUAUCUUCUAUAACAUAUGUAUGCGCAGAUCUCUCUUUUUUCUUCAAAUACUCUGAAUUGAGAAGAAACGAACUCAAAAAUGUGUGACAAACGAACAUUGAAUAGAGACAAGAUCAACGAAACAAGGCGAAGACAACGACAAAUUGUAAAGGCAAUGGCCCGUGAUAUUGAUAUGCGAUUAACGUCAGAUGAAACCUCGACAGACGAAUCAGAUUAGGUACGGGAGAAAGCCCGCCAAAUUCGCCAUUGCCGGCGUUGACGCAUAACGACAUGACAACAUAACAUGUUCCUCGAGGAAAACCUUCGGUUUUCGGUAAAAUGUCGGGGAUGAAAAUUGAAAGAGACCAAAGAAGACGGUACUUUCACAAUCGACUGCGUACCAUGUAGCUGGAUACGAUACGACCAUGAGAAGGGACACAUGUUGGCGAAAUUUGCACCACCACCAUACGGAAACAAAACAGCUAAUAAAUUAUUAAAAUCAUUGAUAAAAUCACAAAGCCCUGCUUUGCCGAAUUGGCCAGAAUAUGUCGUAGAACUUGUUGGUCAUGCAGACACAUAUGAGAAAUCCAUUGAAAGACUAGGCAUUUUGCAAAGCGAUGAAUUUGCUUAUACAACAGAUUCUGACAACACAAGACAAGAAAAGGCAUCUCAAAUAACUGAAAAAAUAAAGAAACAGAGCUUAGAAAAAAUCAUGGAAGUGCCAAGACUUGAGAGCGAUGAUUCAGGUGAAUAGGAAAACGAUACGAGGCAAGAUGAUGAGGCGUGCAAUGGAACCCGCGCGCCGAUGUGACGUGCCGUGCUGGAUAAAUUAAUUCUUUUCCUCCAAUAAUAAUAAUUUCUCCAUCAAUUAAAAAUACGUUAUGGGUAAAAAAUUUGACGUAGAAUACGAUGGUUGUGCUGAGAACUCGCUACGAGGUUGGGGCAAUUGUUAAAAAUCGAUUGAAAGAUUUUAAUUGUUUACAACAGUAUAAAUUUCG